UACGAAGGGGGCUAGCGUUGCUCGGAAUCACUGGGCGUAAAGGGUGCGUAGGCGGGUCUUUAAGUCAGGGGUGAAAUCCUGGAGCUCAACUCCAGAACUGCCUUUGAUACUGAGGAUCUUGAGUUCGGGAGAGGUGAGUGGAACUGCGAGUGUAGAGGUGAAAUUCGUAGAUAUUCGCAAGAACACCAGUGGCGAAGGCGGCUCACUGGACACAUAUUGACGCUGAGGUGCGAAAGCGUGGGGAGCAAACAGG
rnacentral:rRNA from 1 species